rnacentral:tRNA from 1 species
GCCCCGGUAGUUCAGUGGGAGAACGCCGCCUCGACAAGGCGGAGGUCGCUGGUUCGACACCAGCUCGGGGCA